AUGACGAAGACGAUGUAUCUGCUUCUCUACACAGCCGCCUACGGGCGCUACCUCGCCGCCACGGCGCCGCGCGGCCACCGUGCGCGCCGCGUCGUGCAGCGCAACUACAACCAUCCGGAGGAAGAGGCAACGGUUUGGUCUGCCACCCUGUCAGAAUCCGGGAACGAAGUCCUCCUCCACAACUUCCAGGGCGGCUGCCUCCGCGCCAACGCGACGGCCCCGUACCUCGACCGGAACAACAACGUCAGCGUCUACGACAUCGGAAACGUCACCACGAUGAUGCUCUGGGUCGUGGAGCCCAUCCCCGCGAGGGAGGACAUGCCUCCCCUUCCACCUCCGACUGAGGUUCCCUUCCCGGCCGCCAUGUUGGAUUGGCAGGAGAUCCAGUACAUGUGGCCGAACGGCGACCACGGCUCGUUCUGGUUUUGGUGGAGGUCCGUGUUCCACCUGAGGAACGAGCUGGCCAGGCGGCUGGCCAUCGACGUCGCCAACCUCGUCAUGUGCAUCCGCACAGAUAUUGCCUGGGUUACCCCACUCCUCGUCGACCUGCCAAGAAACCACGAGACCCUCCUCAUCGCCGUCGUCGUUGCGGGGACGCCUGGUGUCAGGACCUGCACCGCGCAACUACUGAAGAAGGAGGACGAGCCAAGCAAUCAGUUAAAGAAGCAUAUUGGUCAUCGUGCAGUUCCAUUACCUCAUGUUCCCCUCGUCACUCCAGAUGGAUAUGUCAAAACAAUUCCAGUGGCAGUACUUGAUCGACGAGUCAUUCAGCGCAACAAAACACCAGUGGGACAAUGCUUAGUCCAAUGGGAGAGUCUUGCUCCGGAUGAUGCAACAUGGGAGGAUGCGGCAUUCCUCAACAAAACGUUCCCUGGUCACAAACUGUUUCACCUCGAGGACAAGGCGAUCGUCAAGGCGGCAGCAUUGUCAGGACCUGCACCGCGCAACUACUGA
rnacentral:rRNA from 1 species